rnacentral:rRNA from 1 species
CUGUAAGCCUGCGAAGGUGUGCUGUGAGGCAUGCUGGAGGUAUCAGAAGUGCGAAUGCUGACAUAAGUAACGAUAAAGCGGGUGAAAAGCCCGCUCGCCGGAAGACCAAGGGUUCCUGUCCAACGUUAAUCGGGGCAGGGUGAGUCGACCCCUAAGGCGAGGCCGAAAGGCGUAGUCGAUGGGAAACAGGUUAAUAUUCCUGUACUUGGUGUUACUGCGAAGGGGGGACGGAGAAGGCUAUGUUGGCCGGGCGACGGUUGUCCCGGUUUAAGCGUGUAGGCUGGUUUUCCAGGCAAAUCCGGAAAAU